rnacentral:rRNA from 1 species
AGAGUUUGAUCCUGGCUCAGAACGAACGCUGGCGGCGCGUCUAAAGCAUGCAAGUCGAGCGGCAAGCGUCAGCAAUGACGCCUAGAGCGGCGGACUGGUGAGUAACGCGUGGGUGAUCUACCCCUCGGUUGGGGAUAGCCCCUAGAAAUAGGGGGUAAUACCGAAUACGGUUGCCCGGUUUUGACCGGGCAAAGAAAGGAGCUACGGCUCCGCCGAAGGAUGAGCCCGCGUCCCAUUAGCUUGUUGGCGGAGUAAAAGCCCACCAAGGCUCUGAUGGGUAGCCGGCCUGAGAGGGUGAACGGCCACACUGGGACUGAGAUACGGCCCAGACUCCUACGGGAGGCAGCAGCUAAGAAUAUUCCGCAAUGGACGAAAGUCUGACGGAGCGACGCCGCGUGGAUGAGGAAGGCCGAAAGGUUGUAAAAUCCUUUUGCCGAUGAAGAAUAAGCUUAGGAGGGAAUGCCUGAGUGAUGACGCUAGUCGGUGAAUAAGCCCCGGCUAAUUACGUGCCAGCAGCCGCGGUAACACGUAAGGGGCGAGCGUUGUUCGGAAUUAUUGGGCGUAAAGGGCGCGUAGGCGGUUAUGUAAGUCUGGNCCCGCAAGUCCGGCGUGAAAGGCGGGAGCUCAACUCCCGGACUGCGCUGGAAACUGCGGAGCUUGAGUCACGGAGGGGGAGUCGGAAUUCCUGGUGUAGGGGUGAAAUCUGUAGAUAUCAGGAAGAACACCGGUGGCGAAGGCGGGCUGCCAGCCAAUGACUGACGCUGAGGCGCGAAAGUGCGGGGAGCAAACAGGAUUAGAUACCCUGGUAGUCCGCACCAUAAACGAUGUACACUAGGUGUUGGACCGUGCGGUUCGGUGCCGAAGCAAACGUGAUAAGUGUACCGCCUGGGGAGUAUGCCCGCAAGGGUGAAACUCAAAGGAAUUGACGGGGGCCCG